rnacentral:lncRNA from 1 species
CGAGGGUGCCGGUCCCAACGAUAUGGUCAAGCAGGUAAUGAUCAUUUAGUAAGAAGCAAGAUAUUAUCGAGUUCAACAUCAUCAUGAAAUUAUAAACACUCAGUUAGUUCAUUAGACCACAAAACCUAAUAAAUACAACAUUAAGUUCAAAAAUAAGAGCACGAACACGAGAGAGGAAGUACUAAUAGCAGGAACAUAAUAAGAAAGCAAAAGCCAGGCAUACUGAUGGUAGAGGAGGUCAAACUACAAAGCAACAGCUAUUAGGCAUACUAAUUAGUAGCUCUGUCCAACUGCCUUGUCGGUCAACUUCAUAGGUGCGCUUAGAUGAUCAACCGCGUGGCCUUGGUGUGAAAGCAACUGGCGCAAGCACAUCAUGCUCUUGUGCCUGAGACUGUCUUUUUAUUUGAAUAAUCUCAGCCCAUGUGGGAAACUAAAGCAUGAUGGCACGAACUUCAGAAGAUGUCGUGUACUCAAAGAUGACUUGAAUUCGAUGGUUCUACAAAACAGAUAAAAAUAAAGAUCAUUACUCUAUUGAUAAGUAAGGAAAAGGGAACAAAUAACAAACAUCUACUUUGGAUUAGCUAGUGUUAAUAAACCAUUAAAGAUUACUGAGUGUACAAAAAAUGAUAUGCGGUCAGACUAUCGAUACUCUUUAGCCUAUAUAACCUAGGUGUACGUCAUCCCUUUCUCUACAAAGUAUAAUUUAGCCGUACUUUAUUGUUAUUGUUGAAUCAAGAAACCAAUGGAAUGAUAAAUGGAUACAUUGAACUUACAUGAAAGGCCACCAGAUAUCUCAAAGAAAAGAUUGCUGAUGUAAACAUGUCUAUGCCAACCUGUGGAUAUUUAUUUGAGUAGAUGUCACUAAUUUCAAUCGUUAAUAUCUGGUAUAGAGGAAAUUCAUGUAGGUAGUAAAAAUUCAGUGGCGGAACUGAAUUAUACAAUAAAUGCAUAUGCAUAUAUGAAACACAAUCUCUGUCUGUUGUCCAAAUAUAUGAAAUCUGCUUAUAAUCUUGAUCCAGAGCAGCCAGUAGGUCUCUAAGCUGCUUUUUUAAAAAGGAAGAUAACCAAAAAAAAACUAAUAAUGAUUGUAGCUACAUCUUUAAUCUAUGAAGUGAUACACAUAGCCAACGGCCCUUGAAGAUCACAUGGCUAAGGAGCAUGUCAAUAUCAGCUUUUAUGCAAGUAGAAGCGGCACACUUCAUUCACACUGCACUAUGAUAGCAGUAUGUAUACAUUGUGUAGAUACCAUUACUGAAGUAUAGUGAUAAGAAAAGAAACAUGAUUACUGCACAUUAUUUAUUCCUAAUUUAUUAUAUUUGAAGCCCCACAGAAAAAAAUAAGUUGUAAAGAUCACCAUGUAUGUUGACAUGUUCACUAAAUCUUGAACUAUAGUCAGUUCAUAAUUUAAAAGCAUUAUCUCAGGGGCUUGAACUAAGAAAAAAAAUGAAGAACGAAAUAUUAACUACAUGGGCGGGUUCACAACAUAUAUUCACCCUGUGCGUUCGGUUUAUUCGGUUUACAUGGUUCGAUUUAUACGGUUUUUCAGUUUGUACGGUAUUAAUACUUCGGUAAAUAUGGUAUGAAAUUAAAAUAUGGCUCGGUUUCGGUAUAUACCAAAUUAUUUCGGUAUGGUUUCGGUAUAUACCAUAAAAACCAACGUUGACGCGAAUUUGGAAAUGAUGUAAUAAUAAUUAGCAAAUUUAUGACUCAAAACACAUACUAUUCUACACAAAUAGUAUAUGACUAUAUAUAUAAGUAUAUAUGCAUGCAUUGAUUCAUCUGUUGAUGGUUAUGGACGUGCUUAGCAUUUUAAAAAUAGAAAAAUGACUAUGUUACAAGAAAAAAAUUAUGUUCUUAGUAGUGCAUUUGACUCAUGUACAAGAAAAAUGACAACUUGUAUGGUUGUUCAUCUCAAGAAAGAUAAAUUUAUUUUUUACUUCGGUUUAUUCGGUUAACCGUUCGGUUUUCCGGUAUAUACCAUAAAAACCAAGUUCAAAUCGGUAUGAAAAGUUCAUACCAUACCGAAAGCAGAAACCAUAAAAACCAUAAAAUUGGUUCGGUUCGGUUUAUUUUUGGUAUGGUUUUUUGGUUCGGUUUUAAAAUGCACAGAGUGAACAUAUAUAUAGCAGCAACUCUUAUAGAUCCUUCCUAAUACAGACAAUAGAAAUAUUUUGGAGAGGGUAUUGAAGAUAAAUUAAAUUUAUUUGGUUCCUAGCCAUUUAUGUGGGGUUACAUGAUGUAUUCAACGGCCAUGAGAAUAGUGCAAGGAAUUUAAGAUACAGAGCUAUACAUGGAAUUGAAGGAUAAAGAGUUACUUGUCUGCUGAGUGGGUUCAGAGCGACGAACGUGAAUGGUGUCAAGGAGGUCAACAGUCACACUGCCAGAUCACUGCAGUUCUGUUGCUCGACACCAUAAUCGAUGGUGGCGUCCUCUACUGGUUUGAUUCAAACUAUCAAUGGUAUGCCUCAUUCCCUGUAUAAACAUCUGGGGAUAAAUUCAUCUACGGGGUCAAAACAGAUGCUGGAUUAACACGUAUUCAGAACCUAGAACCAAGGAAAUUUUCGCGCAACUGUGGAGUAAGCAAAUCAAAUGUAUAUCAUAAUGCGUUUUGUCGCUUGCAUGAUAUUUGCAACUGAGUUGAAU